rnacentral:lncRNA from 1 species
UUUUACUUUAAUGUCAAGUAUGGCUUUGUAGGACUGGGUCACUAAGUAUUAUGUAAGUAAAGGAGUACCUCCUUCAAUGAUGAAUGUCGGACUAGGACUGUAUGGUAGAAGUUUUACACUGGCAAAUCCUAGCAAUUCAGGUCUUGGUGCCCCUGCAAGGGGAGCUGGACCUGCUGGUUCCUUCACUGCGGAGAAAGGAUUCAAAGCUUAUUAUGAGGUAUAUAGACCGUUUAAAUCGAUCUACAAGUAUUGUGUACACACAUAUUGAUCGAAAAUGUUUAUACUAAUUCUUCAUAUUCAUUUAUGACAUCACUGUGCUUAUUUAAAUUAACUUUAUUCAACACAAAUGUCAUGUUACACAUUUAUUUUUUUAAAUUAAAAUUUAAAAAAUCCAAAAAAAAUCACAUGUUUUAGACAGUCCUAAGUUAGGAACCUUCGUUCGUCUUGUACAUUUCUUUAAUUUUAGUUCAAUUAUGUUUUUCGGAGUUUAUUGUGAUGUCCAUUUUCACUGAACUUGUACACAUAUGUAUUAAGGGGGAAACUGAAGCACUCCUCCAGGUGCCGGAGUUUCUCUCGAUGUUGACGACGGGUUUGAGGACUUGAGAUGUUUUCUGCUCUUGUGUCGGAUUGUUGUUAACUUUAUUUGACAUAUUCCUUAUUUCCAUUCUCAAUUUUCCCAAAAAAUAUUUUUUCUUGCAACAAUUUCAUUUUAUGAAACAUUUUUGGCGAUAUAUUUUUUUACUUAAAACAUAUUUUACCCAAAAUAACAUCAUUAUAGAAGACCUCUAAUUGCAUUUUAUUUUCAUAUGUAAGCUAUCAAAUUUAAAACACUUAUUAAUCAUUGAAUUCACGUCACUUUGAAAAAAAAAAAAACACAAUUGAAAUAUAGUGUUUUUCUUAUACUGAUUGAAUGUUAUUCUAAAAAAUAAUUGAAAACCUAUAUGAUAGAAAACGAAAUAAGAAGACUAUUAUCCUAUACAUUUGUUUUAUUUUCUAAAAGGUAAAAUAUUUGAAGUAAAUUGUAGAAUGGUAUCAAAACAAAAAAGGCACUGAAUUUACUAUAAAUAUCAUGCACAAAUCUAAAUGAACAAACAACUUUUUUCUAACUUAUGUAUUAUGCAGCUUGGUUACCUUACAGGCGUUAUUAAAUCAUUUCAACCAACUAAAUUUUGUUCUUUUAUCAUGCGUUGUUUAGUGUUUGCAUUUUAUUUGUUAGUUGCAGAUAGCUGCACUUGAAAAUAUUUCUAAUGCUGUUUUCGUCCUCAUUUUUAGAUUUGUCAAAUGUUAAAAUCUGGUGGCGUGAAGCAUUACAUUCCUGAACAAAAAAGUCCAUACGCAGUAAAAGGAACAGAAUGGAUUGGAUACGACGAUCGUGAUAGCUUAAAAGAAAAAGUAAGCAUUGUUUUAUAGGAAAAGAAUUAUGAAAUACUUACGAAAGAGACAUCACAGUUUAAGGUGAUAUCUACGAAAUCACGAAUUUAAAUCUGUUAUCACGAAUUAUAUAAAUCGUGUUGACGAUUUAAAUUCGUGAUUUCGAAUUCAAAUUAUAAAUUUGAGUGGUCCUAGAUGGGCUAUCUAUUCCGUAGAUAUCUCAAAUUGAAAUGCGUUUAUAAACCCCUUACUACUGAAUCGUUUAUUCCCUCUACUAUGCGUGAAUGGAAUAAACUUGAUCCAAACAUUCGCAGUGUCUACUCUAUUUCUAAAUUUAAGAAAGAAUUAAAAAACGAUAGUCUAGUAUGUAAAAUUGAAACGUUUUAUUUGUACGGCCCAAGGAAAUUAAAUAUUAUCUUAACGCAAUUGCGAUGUUCCGCUUCAUCCUUAAACAAUGACCUAUUUAGAGCUAACAUUAUAAAUGAUCCUUCUUGUCAUUGUGGGUCCGAUAUUGAGGAUGUCUACCAUUACUUCUUCGUUUGCCUAAAAUACACAUUAUGUAGGAAAAACUUACUCCAUUACCUUAACUAGCUUUCUGAAAACUUUGUUUUAGAUACAAAACUAUUAAUUUGCGGACACUUGGAACUUUCGAACGAACAAAACAUUCAAAUUUUCAAACAUGUUCAAAAUUACAUAAAAAGGUCAAACAGAUUUCUUAUGCCUUGAUAGAGCGUUGUUAUUGCUGACACAGGACGUCAUCGUUGUCAUCAAUCCACAAGGCAUCGUCACGGAAGUAUACAAUUUUUCAAACUUUCUUUUUCCUUUUUCACUUUGUCUCCUCUUUGUUCACCUAUGAAAGCUAGUAUUAUAUUGUAUAAACUGUUUGUUUUAUAUGCAUGUCCAAAUAUAUUAUACUAUUAUUGUAACUUUAUAUUGUAUUAUGGAGAAGACUUUAUAAGUAUGAUUUACUUGUGUCUAAUCCAUUUUGCUUUAAUUCAGCAAAUAAAAUAUGUUUAAACUAUAAACUUUUUAAAUUACUGGUUAUAUGGCGUCAUAAGAUAUUUGAGAAAAUACAAAUUUAAAUAUUCUUCAACAUUAUUUUGUUCCAAAAUUAUAUUUAGACAUGUUUAGUUUUAUAGACAAAAUAAACGUACGAAGUGGUAAUUCCUACACUAAUAAAAGUACUGUUUAUUAUUAUUCGUUGAAUACCAUUUUUUGUUAAUUUCGUGGGUAUAGGUGAACCACGAAAUUAAAUGUUCAACAAAUGACAAAUUUCAUAUAAGUUUGUAUACCAACUUCGGCUAAACCACGAUAUUAAAUAUCAAUGAACUUGUUAGUUUUCCUUAAUUAACCAAAAAAAAAUGAUACCCACGAAAAUAAGUGAACCCACAGUAACGGGUAUAAGGUAGUGAGAACCAUUAAGAUCUAAAAUGUAAAACACGACAAAAACUAUACAAAAAAAAAAAUACGAUGAAUAAAGAGUCAGGAAAUGUGUAAACAAAGUCUUCUGUUAUCACUCUUCAUCAAACUGACACCCAUUUUUUCACAAUUCACGACAUUCAAUUGAAAUGUUUAAUAAUUGUGGAUAAAUAUCAUUACAAUAUAUAUAUUUAAAAUCGACCUGUAGAAAUUGUGACAUAUAUUUACUUUUUAGUUUAAACAUAUUUGUUCAUAUUAAUACUAGUGGAUUGGGAAACAAGUUUUGCAACUUAUAUCAAUUUCUUUCCACUUUGCGGGUGCGAGUGCUGCCUUGUAGCGGCAUCAGCCUACUCUUUUUCGAAAUCUACAAGGGUGUAUUAAACGUGCAAGAGAUAUGGCUCUCUCUUAACACGGGUCAGCCAUUUAUCGUCUUCUUCUGACGGACUAUCAUCGUUUCCUUAAUACCAUACUCCCCAAUGGUGUCAAGGGAGAGCCGAAAAUUGAGUUCCUGAAAUUUUCAUCCCUAACGGGAAUCGAACCAAAACCUUUGUGUUAGUAGUCUGAUGCACUUAACCACUACUGCACGGCUCUCUUGUUUACUUUUUAGGUGAAGUACAUCAAGGAUCAUCAUUUUGGUGGUACAAUGGUAUGGGCAUUAGAUCUUGACGAUUUCAGUGGUUCAUGUGGAGAGGGGAAGUAUCCGUUACUUCAUGCCAUCAAUGAAGAAUUGGCUGCAGGUGGGGGUGGAAAUGUACCACAGUAAGUGAUAGUGAGAAAUAGAUACAAAAUUUAAAAAAUAUAAAAAAAUACUGACAUUUUAUAACAUUUCUUUCGUUUUAUUUUAUUUUAUUUUUCUAACCUCUAUCAAAGGAAAUUAAGUGAUAAAACUAAAAAUAAAAUUUGUCGCGUACACUAUAAUACGACAUAGGUCGCUAAUUCCGUUCGUCCGGUUUCAGGGUUACCAAUGCUCCCGGCCAACCAACAACUCAGAAUCCACAACCUACUAGGAACCCACCUCAACAAACAACACAACCACCACCACCAACACAACCACCACAGCCAACAUGGAAAACAUGGUGGACCCCAGGACCAACAUGGACACCAGGACCAACCUGGACACCACAGCCAACAUGGAAACCACAACCAACACAAGCCCAACAAGUGACCACAAAAGGUAUUCUAAUUUGCAUAUGUAUUAUUUGUGAAAUUUUGUCAAUAUGAAACAAACAAUAUAAGAAUGAAUUGAACGUUGCCAAACAAUGUAUUUUUCUAAAGUUGUCCGUUUAUUAAUUUUGAAAUUAUAAAGAAACUAAGGAUACAACUCCCUCAGGCAAAGUUGACCUUAGAUGAAUUUGUCUAUUUGUUUCGGAACUUAUACAUCCUUCGGAUUUCAAAUUUUUGGCUUUGAGCGUUCCUGAUGGAGAUAAAAUCAAGAAAAGCAAUUCGGAAGCAUCAAAUUAAACGUUUUGAUUUCAUUUUUUGCAAACAAACACACAAAUCUUUGAUCUACAAGUGCGUAAUUGUUCUUGUAUUCAGAACAUGAUGCAAAAGUAAAAAUAAACUUUCAUAAUUUUCAGCUCCACGUCCAACACACCAGUCACACCACAUUGGCCUUACAACCAACUUUAACUGUAAUGGCAGACCUAGUGGAUUUUAUGCAAGCCCUUCCUCUUGCGACGGUUAUUAUAUUUGUGCUGCCACACUAGCUUUUGAAGUUAAAUGUGCCAGCGGAUUACUAUUCAAUUCUGCAACUGCGUUCUGUGAUUGGCCAUAUAAUGUAAAAUGUUCGACCAACCAAAACCAACAAGGCCCUGUCGUGACAACAAGGAAACCUAUGGCUACUCAAGCACCUGUAACACAAGCCCCUGUUACUCAGGCUCCAGUAACUCAAGCUCCUGUUGUGGUAACUCAGGCACCAGUAACACAAGCACCUGUUACUCAGGCUCCUUCCAAUGGUAAGUUUAAAAUAAUUCCAUGCAGUUUCGAGGUAAUAAGCACGAUAAAUGGUACACACAACAUAGAAAACUAAAGACUAAGCAACACGAACUACACCGAAAACUAGGGGUGAUCUCAGGUGCUCAUGAAGGGUAAAUAACCAAAUAAAAACAAAAAGCAAACUAAAAGAAUGUCUUGUUAUCAAUAAAUUUCUUUAAAAGUUAUAUUUACAGAAAAAAAUUCAAAGAGUAAAAAUUCUAAAUCCCUUUAAGCUCACCUGACCAAAAGGCCAAGUGAGCUUUUCUUAUCACUUGUUGUCCAUCAUCGUUAACUUUUACAAAAAUCUUCACCUCUGAAACUACUGGGCCAAAUUUAACCAAACUUGGCCACAAUCAUCAUUGGAGUAUUUAGUUUAAAAGUUGUGUCCGGUGACCGGUUCUAAAAUAGAACAUAGGGGUAAAAUGUAUAUUUUGGCUUAUAACUCUGAAACCAAAGCAUUUAGAGCAAAUCUGACAGGAGUGUAAUUUUUUAUCAAGUUUAUUGUUUAUCAAGUCAAAAUCUAUCUGCCCUGAAAUUUCCAGAUUAAUCGGACAACGGGUUGUUGGGUUGCUGCCCCUGAAAUGGUAAUUCUAAUGCAAUUUGGAUGUAACAAUUUUUUUUAUUGGCUAAGUUGCCGUCAAAUCCACAGUUGACCAGGCGUAACUAAGGAGAGACCCGCCAUUUUGAAUUGAUGAAUCAACAAAUGUUCGAUUACUUCUAUAUAAUCGAAAAUAAAACAACACCUACCUCGAAUUUGCCGUUUUAAUGUAAUUUUAUCCGAAUUUGAAGCGUACAGGUAACGUAAUAACCUCCAGUUUGUAAGUUUUCAUUUGUAUGACGUCACGUUUAGCCAUGACGUCGUUGUGCCAAAAUCAUUCAUGAAGUUUCGCGGAUUUUUUUUUAUUUGACAAAUUUAGACAUUUUUUUCAAGUUUUAUCGUAUUUUUUCUUUUUGUAAUGCAUUAGAAUCAGAAUAACAGUACUGUAGUUGAAGAGUUGCCACCGUCAAUUUUGAUUUGACGGUGGCAACUCUUCAACUACAGUACUGUUAUUCCUUAAUUUUAAGGAAAUUGUGUCCGUUUAUGAUACUAUUUUGAAAAUUAUUAUAGAUGGAAAUAAACUGUAAACAGCAAUAAUGUUCAGCAAAGGUAGAUCUACAAAUAAGUCAUAUGAUGAAAAUGGUCAGAUGACCCCUUGAGCAGCUAUUGCCCUUAAUAGUCAUUUUUUACCAAUUUUUCGUAAAUUUUUGUAAUCUUUUACAAAAAUCUUCUCUUCUGAAACUACUGGACUAAAUUAAAUCAAACUUAACCACAAUCAUUAUUAGGUUAUCUAAUUUUUAAAAAUGUGUGCGGUGACCCGGCCAAAAUGGCUGUCAUAGCUAAAAAUAGAACAUAGGGGUAAAAUGUAGAUUUUGGCUUAAAACUCUGAAACCAAAGCAUUUAAAGCAAAUCUUACAAGGAGUUAACUUCUUUAUCUAGUAAAUACCUAUCUGCCCUGAAAUUUUCAGAUGAAUUAGACAACUGGUUGUUGGGUUGCUGCCCCAAAAAAUUUAGCCGUUUUUGAUUAUUAUCUAUUAUAGAUAGAGAUAAACUGUAAACAGAAAUAAUGUUCAGCAAAUUAAUAUCUACCAAUAAGUCAACAUGGCCAAUUCAUUAAUUUGGUAAAUUUUGGUAAGUUUUUACAAAAUAUUUUCCUCUGUAACAAAAGGGCUAAGUUCAUUACAGAUAGAGAAAGUUGUAAAUAGCAAGAACGAUCAGUAAAGUAUGGUCUACAAACGCAUCACCAUCACCUAAACACAAUUUUGUCAUGAAUCCAUCUGUUUCCUUUGUUUAAUAUGCACAUAGAUCAAGAUGAGCGACACAGGCUCUUAAGAGCCUCUUGUUUGAUUCUCUUGUGAUUAAAAUAUGUGUCAAUUUUCUAAUUACUGAUAUGCAUAUACUUUUGUUCAGGAAAUAAUAAACAAGAAUUCUGUAAAAACAAGUCCGAUGGUCACCACAGAGACCCAACUGACUGUGGACAUUUCUACCAAUGUUCUUUUGGUCUCACUUUCCAUGAGGUCUGUGGUCCAGGAACCGCAUUUAAUGAACAAACAGUAGGCUGUGAUUAUCCAAGAAAUGUUCCAGGUUGUGAAAACUACGGUGGAUGAGAAAAAUGAAAAAACUGAGACAGAACAGUAUAUUUUGUG